rnacentral:piRNA from 1 species
UGACAGGUUUGUGUCACCACACCCUGUUU